CUACAUUUUUAUUUAGUUGCUUCAUUUCUUGCGCCAAACGGUGGCGCUUACUCUCUUAUCGCUUCUGCUGCCAUUUUGUUCGUCUGCUCCUGCCGCUUUCUGGGCACGUUGCACGUUUUUCUAAUAUCCUGCGGUUAAAAUUUUUAUUUCAGUGGCCGCGAACGCUCCGGUAAUGUUUGAAAAACCGAGGAAAGGGCACAAGGCGUGCUACGCGGCUGUGUAAUGUGGCAACUCGGGGAAGAACACAGGGGCAUGUUCUUUUUUUUUUUUCAUUUCCCAGAGCGCGAGAGAUGUGGAAUGUGGCGAAAUCACGUUAAAUGAGAAGACCUGGCAAGGGUUGACAUGGGAGCAGACGUAGUGCAACGGCUACCGCGUCUGCUCGGACCACUUCACAAAAAGGGACUAUACGCCUACCCGGCCAACACAAGACUUGCGGUCGGCUGCGUAGACUGUGGGAGUGCAGGAGUGGUCCCUGGCUCGAUGACGGGCUGUGCAUACGCUGAACGAAUCCUUGUGGCACGCACUCCUCCCGUCGCGAUGACCCUGGCAUUGACAGAGCACUGAAAAUACACUGCAAAGCGGCAAACGUUAUGUCAAGUGUGCACCGGUGAUACGGACCAACCACUGACGACAGAAAAAGAAGGAUCAUCCGAAUUUCGACGCUAAAGAAGACAAGGUCACGUAU